UUUAUAUGUCAUAUUUGUUGUAUUGACGAGGAACAAGAAAUGAGGAGUGUAAAAGUGUGACUAAGGUCCCAUGCUGGAUUUCAACCAGGGAUGUAAUGGGAGCACACAAACUCUCUCCAGGAAUUGCUGUGUUAUGUGUGAGGGCAGUGAGACAGCAGACAAACAAUGCUGGGAUUGCUGUUGGUGAUAAGACCAUCAGUAGUACUGACGAACACCACCUGUUCAUGAGAUCAUGCAUCCUUUCAUGACUCGUACAACAGGUCUGGACCACUCGUGAAUUAACUUCAUACUUUAGACAAAAUUCAAGAAGUCAAGGACCUAUUUCUAACCUUGACAGAGACAGACACCACUAUUUGGACUGGCAGGCAUUGGCUUAGAUACAGCUGCAGCAACAGCAGAAUGAGUAACUGGUGAUCAGGGAGGAUGAGGGGAAUGCAUGCUGUCAUCAGAAUCAACGAGUCCGAAGAAAGAAAGAGCUGAAUCAGGUCCAGUCAUGUGCUUUUAGACAGACACACAAACUGACACCAGGAUACAGGCAGGCAGACAGUAGCAGGACAGAGCCAGAGGAUGAAACACAACUCAACACACCAAAGGCAAAUUGGAGCUCAGCCUAGUAAAACGUGUGUCAAAACACAGCUGAAAAUAUAGCAAAAACUUCCCCUAUAUUUGAACAUUGGCUGCAAACAGGCCUACCGGCUACAAGAGUGAACAGAAGAGGGCGGCCAGCAAGCUCCAGGCUGAGACAGGAGCAUGUGGGUAGUGUAUUUAUUCAGCCAGAUGAUUAUUAGAACUCUGGACUGUAAGUUAUGCCUCUGGCAUCCUAUUCUACAGUCAUCUAUUCAUACUGGCUGACCUAGAAUGAGUCCCCGGGUAGGCUAUUGUACUGUAGAGAGGUAUAUGAUGUGGUUUUUUUUAUUGUGAAAUGAACUUGUGCAAUGAGGUGUAACAUCAUCAAGACCAAACAGCAAGUCCAUUUCCAGUUCAGUUACUGUAAAUGUGUGUAUGUAUGUAUGGAUAGAUGAUGGAUACAAAAUGCAUGAUACCUCUAUUUCUUGUCAAAAAAAGUGUUGAUCAGUGAAAUGUCCCUUUAGAUUACAGCUGCACAUUUUGCAAAUGUCAUUCAUGCUGGAUUUCCUUUAUCUGUAAAGUCAUCUUUCCCAAAAAUGUCUGUACAGUAUGAGGCAUAAUGCACAGAGGGGAGAAUGUGGAGGUGACUGCAUACUCUAUAUUGUAGAGGUCAGAGACUGACUGGUGCAGGCAA